rnacentral:rRNA from 1 species
AAUCAACGCUGGCGGCGUGCCUAACACAUGCAAGUCGAACGCGAAAGUGGAGCAAUCCAUGAGUAGAGUGGCAAACGGGUGAGUAACGCGUGGAUGACCUGCCUGAGGGUGGGGGAUAACCCGGGGAAACUCGGGCUAAUACCGCAUAAAACCGAGAAGUCAAAGGGGGCCGCAAGGCUCUCGCCUGCAGAGGGGUCCGCGUCCGAUUAGCUAGUUGGCAGGGUAAUGGCCUACCAAGGCGACGAUCGGUAGCCGGCCUGAGAGGGUGAUCGGCCACACUGGAACUGAGACACGGUCCAGACUCCUACGGGAGGCAGCAGUGGGGAAUUUUGCGCAAUGGGCGAAAGCCUGACGCAGCAACGCCGCGUGGAGGAUGAAGGUCUUCGGAUUGUAAACUCCUGCCAGUGGGGAAAAAGGGGAACGUGCUCAUACCACGUUUCAUUGAUUGUACCCGCAGAGGAAGCCCCGGCUAACUCUGUGCCAGCCGCCGCCGUAAAAC